rnacentral:rRNA from 1 species
AGAGUUUGAUCCUGGCUCAGGAUGAACGCUGGCGGUAUGCUUAACACAUGCAAGUCGAACGAAAGCUUUAUGCUUUAGUGGCGAACGGGUGCGUAAUACGUGAGAAUCUGCCCUUAGGAGGAGAAUAACUUCUGGAAACGGUUGCUAAGUCUCCAUAUGCCGAGAGGUAAAAUAGUUUACACUGCCUAGGGAUGAGCUCACGCCUGAUUAGCUUGUUGGUAAGGUAAUGGCUUACCAAGGCCACGAUCAGUAGCUGGUUUGAGAGAACGAUCAGCCACACUGGGACUGAGACACGGCCCAGACUCCUCCGGGAGGCAGCAGUGAGGAAUUUUCCGCAAUGGGCGAAAGCCUGACGGAGCAAUACCGCGUGAGGGAUGAAGGAUUUUGGUCUGUAAACCUCUUUUCUCAAGAAAGAAGUUCUGACGGUACUUGAGGAAUAAGCAUCGGCUAACUCCGUGCCAGCAGCCGCGGUAAUACGGGGGAUGCAAGCGUUAUCCGGAAUCAUUGGGCGUAAAGCGCCUGUAGGUUGUUUAAUAAGUCUGUUGUUAAAGACUAGGGCUUAACCCUAGAAAAGCAAUGGAAACUACUAGACUAGAGUAUGGCAGGGGUAGAGGGAAUUUCUAGUGUAGCGGUGAAAUGCGUAGAUAUUAGAAAGAACACCGGUGGCGAAGGCGCUCUACUGGAUCAUUACUGACACUCAGAGGCGAAAGCUAGGGUAGCAAAAGGGAUUAGAUACCCCUGUAGUCCUAGCCGUAAACGAUGGAUACUACAUGUUGUGCAUUAUGUACAGUAUGGUAGCUAACGCGUUAAGUAUCCCGCCUGGGGAGUACGCUCGCAAGGGUGAAACUCAAAGGAAUUGACGGGGGCCCGCACAAGCGGUGGAGCAUGU